GCGCACCGAGCAAUGGGGGUGCCUUUUCGGCUAACAAUCCAAGCGCACUCUCGGAGAAACAAACAAACAAACAGAGCUCGGUAGUAGUUUAAACAAAUGUGGACGUUUGUUUUACUCCUCUUCUACGCCCGCUUUCAUCCCCGUGGAAGCCCAGAAAGGUGUCCGUCAUGGAGCGGCGGUCGAGCAUGUACACGCAGCUGCUGUAUACAAAAGACCGGCGGUAAGCGAGUAAGUGAGUGACUGGAGUGGUUAAGUUAGUAAGCUGGGGGUCCGCCUCCUUUCUCGUUGUGACCCCCCCGCACUCAGAUAUUUCAAAUACAGCGCUUAAAAGCCACCAUAAAAGUUACUCUUCCAUUACCAAGCGCUACCCCUUUAAGUCAAUUUACAAGCUAGAAGUAGCAAGCCCAGGCUAAGUAGCUCCGAAACAAGUGAAAGGAGGCUCCGCAUGUGUGGGCUUAAUGCGUGGAUGUGAUGUUCCCACAGCAGUCCAACCUUCUUCGGCUUCACCGGAGACGCGAACAAGUGUGUUUUAUUAAAUAGGUCACCAGUUCUCAACCGCAGAGGAAUCUUAACAUUUGAUAUACCGAAAGUUGGCAGUCACAGAUGAAGAUGUUAAUAAACACAGAGGAGGAUUUAUUCCCUGCUACUUACUGGUUUUGCAGUAAGUAGUCAAACAGGAGUCUUUUCAUUCGGCUGUCACAUUUGGCUCUCCAGAGGGGAAGAAGAGGUAAGAAUAAACACGGGAAAUCAAUGCAAGUUGGCCUUGAGAAUACACCAGCAAAGCUUUCUGUUUGUAUCCUGUCGGUCUGCAAAUGUCACAUCAACUAAAUCUCUACACUCAAAUACAUUUUCAUUAUAAAUCCAUUCGUACCUUUUAUGGAAGACCUGUGAACCUGCGUUGCCUCGUAGGUUGUUAUUUUUUUAAAUAAACCGAUUUUAAAUGAAGUUAAAAACUCAAGUAAAACCGAGUUUUGAUGCCAUAAAAUCAACUCUUGGUCUGCUAUAUUUUGAUAAACCAAGACGCAUACUACCAGGGUACAUUAGUGUGAUACCAUAUUAACCUGUACUACGUAAUACAACCCUGAAUA